AUUGAACGCUGGCGGUAUGCUUAGCACAUGCAAGUCGAACGGUAACAGGCCUUCGGGUGCUGACGAGUGGCGGACGGGUGAGUAACGCGUAGGAAUCUGCCUCAUAGUGGGGGACAACGUGGGGAAACUCACGCUAAUACCGCAUACGCCCUACGGGGGAAAGCGGGGGAUCUUCGGACCUCGCGCUAUGAGAGGAGGCUGCGGUAGAUUAGCUAGUUGGUAGGGUAAAGGCCGACAAAGGCGACGAUGUAUAGCUGGUCUGAGAGGACGAGCAGACACAAGGGGACUGAGACACGACCCAAACUCCUACGGGGGGCAGCAGUGGGGAAUAUUGGACAAUGGGCGCAAGCCUGAUCCAGCAAUACCGCGUGUGUGAAGAAGGCCCUAGGGUUGUAAAGCACUUUCAAUAGGGAGGAAAACCUGCCGGUCAAUACCCGGCAGCUUGACAUUACCUAUAGAAGAAGCACCGGCUAACUCCGUGCCAGCCGCCGCGGUAACAC
rnacentral:rRNA from 1 species